GGCACUGUAGCUCAGUUGGUAGAGCACAUGCUUAACACGUCAGUUGGCCGCAUGUUGUCGUCGGUUCGAGCCCGGCCAGAGUCA
rfam:Puccinia sorghi strain RO10H11247 Scaffold_458, whole genome shotgun sequence.